GACGAACCGUGCGAACGUUGUUCGGAAUUACUGGGCGUAAAGGGCUCGUAGGCGGCCAACUAAGUCGGACGUGAAAUCCCCAGGCUCAACCUGGGAACUGCGUCCGAUACUGGAUGGCUUGAAUCCGGGAGAGGGAUGCAGAAUUCCAGGUGUAGCGGUGAAAUGCGUAGAUAUCUGGAGGAAUACCGGUGGCGAAGGCGGCAUCCUGGACCGGCAUUGACGCUGAGGAGCGAAAGCCAGGGGAGCAAACGGG
rnacentral:rRNA from 1 species